ensembl:snRNA U2 U2 spliceosomal RNA
AUCAUUUCUCAACCUUUUGGCUAAGAACAAGUAUAGCAUCUGUUCUAAUCUGGUAUUAAACAGAUACUGUCCUCUAUCCCAGGACAAUAAAUGGAUUUUUGAAACUAGGAGAUGGAUUAGGUGCUUGCUUCAUCCACCCCACACAUUGACCUGGUAUUGCAGUACCUUCAGGACCAGAGCAUGCCCU